rnacentral:tRNA from 1 species
AGACAAGUAAGCUAAACUCAAGCUACCGGGCUCAUACCCCGCUUAUAGAGGUGCACUCUCUUCUCUA